UGUGAGUAAGGCUUCUGGUCAACAGGAGGCUAUGUAUCAGCAGUUACGUUUGUGGAUAGUCAAAAGUUACAAGCAGAUUUUCAGCAGUGCAGAGGUUCAGUGCCCCUGACUCCUGUAGUUUUGAUUUUUGAGCCAUAUGAAUGGAAUACUUAUUCAAAAAUAAGUGAAAAUAAAAUAACAAUUUUUAAUUUUGUUUAAAGACAGACAAUUUAGCAGAACUUAAAGACAUGUUUUCCAUUUGAAUGGGCCCCCGUGUGUAGAUAAAAACAGUAGAUGAAAACGGAACUACGAUAAGGCACAUCACUGUAAAAUUUGGAGCAUGGGGACCUAGAAAAUUUCCUACAAGUUUCCAGAAAGAGGAUGGGAAAAGAUCUGGAUUCAUAAUGGUUUUGGACUUCGGAACUUCUGAGAGAGAGCAGGCAGUGAGGCAACACCACAGGCCUUUCAAAUUCUAAGAGGAAAUUAUUUCCUGGCUCAAAUUCUAUACUUGGCCAAACUGUCAAAUUAAGUUUGAGGAUAAAGACGUAUUUAGACAGGCAAGUUGUCCAAAACCUUCCCUCCUACACACCCUUUAUUAGACGCUAUCAGAGGAUGUGUUACCCCCAAGAAAGAGGAAAGACUCAGGACCGGAAGAACCACCAGGGCAGUGGUGACAUGAGACCUUGGACAACAGCUGGGCGGCAAGGUCAGAGGGCAGCCGCAGGUCAGAGCAGGUCAAAGACCCCCAGGACAGACUUUCUUAGGAAAAAGAAAUUGUGAGAAUAAGUGAUUUACCUGAAUCUCGAGAGGAGGUUUAUAUAAGCAGCCUGCAGUUGAGGGUUCGAUCAUUGAGAAGAACACAGCAAAUGGAAGCACAAUUAACUCCAGAGGGAAAAAGUUUUCAGGGAAAAUAAAAGUGAUCGUAGCGGGAACUUUCCAGAACGCUCGGUGAGAGGUGGAGGAGCAGCGGUUGCCCAAGCUGCGCACGGCUACGCGCUCCUUCCCGCUCUCCACGUCGGCCUCAGCCCGCUCACCGGCUGUAGAAAAUGGUGAAAGAAACCACUUACUAUGAUGUUUUGGGGGUCAAACCCAAUGCCACUCAUGAAGAGUUGAAAAAGGCUUAUAGGAAAGUGGCCUUGAAGUACCACCCUGAUAAGAGUCCAAAUGAAGGAGAGAAGUUUAAACAGAUUUCUCAAGCUUACGAAGUUCUCUCUGAUGCAAAGAAAAGGGAACUAUAUGACAAAGGAGGAGAACAGGCAAUUAAAGAGGGUGGAGCAGGUGGUGGUUUUGGCUCCCCCAUGGACAUCUUUGAUAUGUUUUUUGGAGGAGGAGGAAGGAUGCAAAGAGAAAGGAGAGGUAAAAAUGUUGUACAUCAGCUUUCAGUAACCUUAGAAGAUUUAUAUAAUGGUGCAACAAGAAAACUGGCUCUGCAAAAGAAUGUGAUUUGUGACAAAUGUGAAGGCCAAGGUGGUAAGAAAGGAGCAGUAGAGUGCUGUCCCAAUUGCCGAGGUACUAGAAUGCAAAUAAGAAUUCAUCAGAUAGGACCUGGAAUGGUCCAGCAAAUUCAGUCAGUGUGCAUGGAGUGCCAGGGCCAUGGGGAACGGAUCAGUCCUAAAGACAGAUGUAAAAGCUGCAAUGGAAGGAAGAUAGUUCGAGAAAAGAAGAUUCUAGAAGUUCAUAUUGACAAAGGCAUGAAAGAUGGCCAGAAGAUAACAUUCCAUGGUGAAGGAGACCAAGAACCAGGACUACAGCCAGGAGAUAUUAUCAUUGUGUUAGAUCAGAAGGACCAUGCUGUUUUUACUUGACGAGGAGAAGACCUUUUCAUGUGUAUGGACAUACAGCUGGUUGAAGCAUUAUGCGGCUUCCAGAAGCCAAUAUCUACUCUUGACAACCAAACCAUAGUCAUCACCUCUCAUCCAGAUUGUCAAGCAUGGAGAUAUCAAGUGUGUGCUAAAUGAAGGCAUGCCAAUUUAUCGUAGACCAUAUGAAAAGGGUCGCCUAAUCAUCGAAUUUAAGGUAAAUUUUCCUGAAAAUGUUUCUUUCUCCUGAUAAACUGUUCUUUGCUGGAAAAUUCUGAGAGGAAGGAAGUAGAAGAGACUGAUGAAAUGAUCAAGUAGAACUCGUGACUUUGAUCCAAAUCAGAGGAGACGGCGCAUUACAAUGGAGAAGCAUAUGAGGAUGAUGAACAUCAUCCCAGAGGUGGUGUUCAGUGUCAACCUCUUAAUCGAGGCCAGUGAAUGAGACUCACUGCUGA